rnacentral:rRNA from 1 species
CUGGCGGCGUGCCUAACACAUGCAAGUCGAACGAGAAAGGGGAGCAAUCCCUGAGUAAAGUGGCGACCGGGUGAGUAACACGUGACCAAUCUACCCUCGAGUGGGGGAUAACUCCGGGAAACCGGGGCUAAUACCGCAUAAUAUCUUCGGGUCGGAAGAACUGAAGAUCAAAGGAGCAAUUCGCUUGAGGAGGAGGUCGCGGCUGAUUAGCUAGUUGGCGGGGUAAUGGCCCACCAAGGCGAAGAUCGGUAGCCGGCCUGAGAGGGCGCACGGCCACACUGGAACUGAAACACGGUCCAGACUCCUACGGGAGGCAGCAGUGGGGAAUUUUGCGCAAUGGGGGAAACCCUGACGCAGCAACGCCGCGUGGAGGAUGAAGUCCCUUGGGACGUAAACUCCUUUCGACCGGGACGAUUAUGACGGUACCGGUGGAAGAAGCCCCGGCUAACUUCGUGCCAGCAGCCGCGGUAAUACGAGGGGGGCAAGCGUUGUUCGGAAUUAUUGGGCGUAAAGGGCGCGUAGGCGGUGCGGUAAGUCACCUGUGAAAUCUCUGGGCUUAACUCAGAGUCUGCAGGCGAAACUGCCGUGCUGGAGUAUGGGAGAGGUGCGUGGAA